rnacentral:lncRNA from 1 species
ACUUUGGGGAAAUCUUAAAGACAGUGUUUUCAAUGAUAGAAGAAUCCAGGUAUUAAAACCCAAGAGAGACCUACAGGUAACCAAACAGCAGAACAAGGUGCACUGCUUGGCAGAAAGGCAGGGUAUAAAUGUAGUAAUGAGUGCCUUUUCUAUUUUUUUUUUUUUUUGGCAAAAGCAUAGGAGAUAACUUUGAUAAUAAACAAAACUUAAAAUUAGAGUCUAGUACUUGCAUGUUGAUAUUAUGUUGGAAGUGCUAAACAAGCUAUGCAGGUUGGAUGCUCAGCUAUUUUUAAUGUGAAAGGAUAUAUAAAAUCCGUCUCAAUUUUAUUGCUUCUGACUGACAACAAGCUGCAUUUUCUUCUUGUUACUUUUAGUGAACUGCAUAACAUUUGUCCAACACAGAAAUGUAUGCAUAUUUCUCUCACACAGUUUCCUAAUGUGUUCCUUAUUAUAUGCUUUUUAUCUACCGUAUAAUCAUUAACUAAUUUGUGCACAUAUUUUUUUAGUUGUAGGCAUUUUAGCUAUUCACAAUUUGUAUAUUUUUGGUCCAACCUGUGUUUGGUUCUGGGUAAAACUUUACACACGACUUAUGUACAAUGUUUGUAUAGUUUUGUACUCACAUUAUAUUUCUGAGAUGCUCCAUAGAGCCUUGCAAAAAUGUGUGAAUUCUUGAGGCAAAGUACGUUUCUUUUCACAGUGAACCCCAGGAGGUGCAAAAACAUUGCUUUCAUCAAGAGUCUCAGAACCAACAAAACUGUUUUCCACCCCUGAAUCCAAGACAUUAGCAGCUUAUCACCAUGUCAUGAAACAUUCACCAGCUGAUCUCUGCACACCAGGCUGCUGGUAAAUUAGUUGAGUAGAGUUUUUUCCCUUGUUUACUGAGAAUUCUGGCUUUAUGCUUCC